GAAGGCACCGUCCAGCGGUGGGCAGCCGGCCUCGAAAGCCGGAGGCGGGGGCAACCCCGGGGGUUCGACUCCUCUGCCUUCC
rnacentral:tRNA from 1 species